CCUACGGGAGGCAGCAGUGGGGAAUAUUGGACAAUGGGGGGAACCCUGAUCCAGCCAUGCCGCGUGUGUGAAGAAGGCCCUCGGGUUGUAAAGCACUUUCAGUGAGGAAGAACGCCUGGUGGUUAAUACCCAUCAGGAAAGACAUCACUCACAGAAGAAGCACCGGCUAACUCCGUGCCAGCAGCCGCGGUAAUACGGAGGGUGCGAGCGUUAAUCGGAAUUACUGGGCGUAAAGCGCGCGUAGGUGGCUUGAUAAGCCGGUUGUGAAAGCCCCGGGCUCAACCUGGGAACGGCAUCCGGAACUGUCAAGCUAGAGUGCAGGAGAGGAAGGUAGAAUUCCCGGUGUAGCGGUGAAAUGCGUAGAGAUCGGGAGGAAUACCAGUGGCGAAGGCGGCCUUCUGGACUGUCACUGACACUGAGGUGCGAAAGCGUGGGUAGCAAACAGGAUUAGAUACCCUAGUAGUC
rnacentral:rRNA from 1 species